CCUACGGGGAGCAGCAGUAGGGAAUAUUGCUCAAUGGGGGAAAGCCUGAUGGAGCAACGCCGCGUGGGUGAAGAAGGUCUUCGGAUCGUAAAACCCUGUUGUUAGAGAAGAAAGUGCGUGAGAGUAACUGUUCACGUUUCGACGGUAUCUAACCAGAAAGCCACGGCUAACUACGUGCCAGCAGCCGCGGUAAUACGUAGGUGGCAAGCGUUAUCCGGAUUUAUUGGGCGUAAAGGGAACGCAGGCGGUCUUUUAAGUCUGAUGGGAAAGCCUUCGGCUUAACCGGAGUAGUGCAUUGGAAACUGGGAGACUUGAGUGCAGAAGAGGAGAGUGGAACUCCAUGUGUAGCGGUGAAAUGCGUAGAUAUAUGGAAGAACACCAGUGGCGAAAGCGGCUCUCUGGUCUGUAACUGACGCUGAGGUUCGAAAGCGUGGGUAGCAAACAGGAUUAGAUACCCCGGUAGUC
rnacentral:rRNA from 1 species